UACGAAGGGGGCUAGCGUUGUUCGGAAUCACUGGGCGUAAAGCGCACGUAGGCGGAUUGUUAAGUCAGGGGUGAAAUGCCAAGGCUCAACCUUGGAACUGCCUUUGAUACUGGCAAUCUCGAGUCCGGGAGAGGUGAGUGGAACUGCGAGUGUAGAGGUGAAAUUCGUAGAUAUUCGCAAGAACACCAGUGGCGAAGGCGGCUGCCUGGCCUGUAACUGACGCUGAGACGCGAAAGCGUGGGGAGCGAACCGG
rnacentral:rRNA from 1 species